GACUGCACGGAGCAGUUUUGAUGAAGUCUGCAGUAGCCAAAAUAUUUAGACGAUUUACCGCGGCAUGUCUGCAAAUCCCAACAAGAAGUGACAUUAUGAUAUCACUCACGUGUUACUACCAAUUGACAAGAACAAGAUCAAUCUGAUCAGAAUUACAAUGUCGGAUCUGGCGGAUUCGAGAUGGAUUCUUGGAAGAGAAGAAAAGGAAUAAGAGCUAAAAGGCGUAAACGCUUCUUCGAGAAAGCAUUUCUGGUAUUUCUUGCCAAAAAUUCAUGGAAAAGAUAUAAAAGCUUUCGCUCAAAGUGAUUCAUACUCUUAAAAGCGUUGAAAACUUCCUCCACCUACAAACUAGUUUGAAUCAUAUUAGAUAAAGGCGAGUUUUUUUUUUAAUAGCUCUACUAUUGCACAUACUUCCCAUGUUUAUCACAUGGCAUAGUAUGGCGCUGAGUUUUUGUGUAAAAAUAUUCUUAAAUGUUAUAUACAUGACAACUCAUUAAAAAUAACUCAAUACAGGCUAUAAUUUCUAAAACUAAAUAUGAAAUUUUUGUUUUUAUAUCGACUGUAUUGAAGAUAAUAUCAUAUGAUGUAAUUAGGUUUUUUAUAGGUAGAGCAGAUUUGAAGAUCUAGUGGUAAAUUUCAUAGUAAUAAAUUAAAAAGAAUAAACGAGAAUAAAUAAAUGGAUACAAAAAACUGUAUUAGAUAAGAUGGAAAUAAUGAAAGAAAAACUAUGCUUUUAACAUACAUUUGUCAGAUUAGUUAGUUAAAUAAUUAUAAGGGAUGAAUAGAUACGUAUGUUUAAUAGUUUUAAGGUAAACUUAUAUAUAAAUCAAGUUCCUUCUUGAUAUCUAAGCUAAAAUGAAUAAAUUAUUCUGAAUACAA